UACGUAGGGUGCAAGCGUUAAUCGGAAUUACUGGGCGUAAAGCGUGCGCAGGCGGUUUCGUAAGUCUGUCGUGAAAUCCCCGGGCUUAACCUGGGAAUGGCGAUGGAGACUGCGAGGCUAGAGUUUGGCAGAGGGGGGUAGAAUUCCACGUGUAGCAGUGAAAUGCGUAGAGAUGUGGAGGAACACCGAUGGCGAAGGCAGCCCCCUGGGCUAACACUGACGCUCAGGCACGAAAGCGUGGGGAGCAAACAGG
rnacentral:rRNA from 1 species